CUGUCGUGGUGCCGGUGCCUGCCAGCAAGCAACUGUAUUCUGCCCAAGUAUUGUGCUCGAACUGGUGACACGCGCGAGCUGAUCUAUGCCUGUGUAGGGUUGGGAACCAAGUUGAUCUAGCAGGCAUCUGAAUGAGAAAUGGCCAACUUGCUUCGCAUACUAAAAUUGUCUUCAGUGCUGAUCAUCUGUGUUGGAUCUUUUGCAGAAGGAGUCAAGUAUGUCACUGAAUUCAACUGCAACACUACCAAUGGUGAAUACUUGAUCAGCGACAGUUCAUGGUCUGUUGCGUCCUCUACUGUAGCCAGCAAAACGUGCACAGACAUCACAGUGACUUUAAAGUUAAUUACUACUAACGACAUCAAUGAGUGUUUCCAGGCCUACCGAGCACACAUGGAACUAUUGCUAGGGAGAACGGUGACUGCUUACCUAGCAACUGGAUGUUACCCUGAGACGGCAACCUGUGAUUAUCAAUCCGUCGUUAUAUGCAAAGAUAAGAACACACUAGCUUCUCCAGGAAACACAAAAUGUAUGGCUGACGUACAACUUCCGAAUGGAAAAGUCUUGUAUCCAUCUACUAGAGUAUUCCCGGCCGGAAUAUAUUUCUUGUGCAACUCUGGAUAUCAACAUUCGGGACCGUUUCAAUACAAAUGUAAGAUGGACGGCUCAUGGUUAUCAGACUCAUCAGUUGGGCCGUCUU